rnacentral:rRNA from 1 species
CUACGUGCCAGCAGCCGCGGUAAUACGUAGGUGGCAAGCGUUGUCCGGAAUUAUUGGGCGUAAAGCGCGCGCAGGCGGAUUGGUCAGUCUGUCUUAAAAGUUCGGGGCUUAACCCCGUGAUGGGAUGGAAACUGCCAAUCUAGAGUAUCGGAGAGGAAAGUGGAAUUCCUAGUGUAGCGGUGAAAUGCGUAGAUAUUAGGAAGAACACCAGUGGCGAAGGCGACUUUCUGGACGAAAACUGACGCUGAGGCGCGAAAGCCAGGGGAGCGAACGGGAUUAGAUACCCCGGUAGUCCUGGCCGUAAACGAUGGGUACUAGGUGUAGGAGGUAUCGACCCCUUCUGUGCCGGAGUUAACGCAAUAAGUACCCCGCCUGGGGAGUACGACCGCAAGGUUGAAACUCAAAGGAAUUGACGGGGGCCCGCACAAGCGGUGGAGUAUGUGGUUUAAUUCGACGCAACGCGAAGAACCUUACCAGGUCUUGGCAUUGAUGGACAGAACUAGAGAUAG